AUAGAGGUUUCAUUAGAAACCAUCCAAUUUAAAAAGGAACUGGGCGG
rfam:Haliaeetus albicilla contig54905, whole genome shotgun sequence.